rnacentral:lncRNA from 1 species
GACAGGCAGAGGCAGGCAGCAGAGAGACAGAAAUGAGGAUGAGGAGAGGCUUUUUGCUCUCUGACAUGAUAGAAUGGCUGCCACACAGGAAUUCCUCAUCACGAAGCUGGAUUAUGCAGACAACAGAGCGGUGGUGCGAGAGCCAGGAUUGGUUUUUGAUGUCCUAGAGAUUUACCGACAGCGGAAUGAUUGGACCAGAUCGAGUUUGGGAGGACUUGGACGAAGGGGCAGGUAGUAUGACCAGCCCAAACUCUGGUACUGCAUUAGCAAUACUGUGCUGUCAAUUAAUGAGGGAUCACUUAGGUUAUGAUUGAGGAGA